GAACAAUAACAAGUUGUGUUUUGUGUUUGUUCCUUUCUUUAUGCUUGGAUUUCUAGAAGUUACGCAGAAAUGUCCGCUUUACACAGGUCCGUGUUCGGAGAAAACCUUGAGUAGUUACCGAAAAGCAAAAAGUUUGAAUCUCUUGAAAGUAUGCUGGUUAAUUUUAUUUCCGAAACUGCCAUUAAGUUUCAUCUGAUUUGGACCGUACAGAGAUGGAUCAGUACGAAAAACAACCAUUUUCUUCACUUUUUCAUCUAGUUGAAGUCUGAAGAGAGUGCCAAAAUUUUUUUAACGUAAUGUUGAAGCCAUCUGCUGUAUUAGUUAACUACUUACUGCGGAGUUUUGUAUCUCUAGCUGGGCUGGUCGUAAUGCAGAGUGGUUGUUGAAUAAACUAUUGACUUGAAAUGUAAAA